GAUUUCCUGGGGUGCGCGUUAUCCUAAUGUUUUAACCCACAGAUUAACCACGGGAAUCCGGGUUUGCAGGUCGAUAACAUGCCCCGUUUUCAGGGGAAGUUAGAAGUCUGCAACAGGUAUCCCACCUGCCGAGGGGCGGGUAUUAAAUCUUAGGCCGACGGCAUCUCGGGAUCUUU
rnacentral:other from 1 species